GGGAUGUCAUGCAGGAGAACUAUGAGAAUGUGACCUCGCUGGGGUUUCCAUUUUCCAAACCUGAUGUGAUCUCCCAGCUGGAACAAGGGGAAGAGCCAUGGGUCUCAGACCUGCAGGGUUCAGAAGGAAAACAGACCAUGAGUUCUCUCUGCAGAGGUGAUGCAAUGGCAUGUGAGAAAGAGGAGCAGAAUUCUCAGCAGAAAAAUGUUCACCAAG